GGGAAAAGCUCAAAUUUUGAAUCUGGCGGUCUUUAUGGUCGUCCGAAUUGUAAUCUAGAGAAGCGUCUUCCGCGCUGGACCGUGUACAAGUCUCCUGGAAGGGAGCGUCAUAGAGGGUGAGAAUCCCGUCUUUGACACGGACUGCCAGGGCUUAUGUGAUGCGCUCUCGACGAGUCGAGUUGUUUGGGAAUGCAGCUCAAAUAGGGUGGUAAAUUCCAUCUAAAGCUAAAUAUGGGCGAGAGACCGAUAGCGUACAAGUACCGUGAGGGAAAGACGAAAAGAACUUUGAAAAGAGAGUUAAACAGUACGUGAAAUUGCUGGAAGGGAAACGCUUGAUGUUCACUCGCGUCAACCAGGGAUCAACCUUGCUUCUUAACCGGAGCUGGGUGCACUUUCUGGUUCGACGGGUCAGCAUCAGUUUCGAACCAUGUAGAAAGAUGAAGGGAAUGUGGCACUCUGCGAGGAGUGUGUUAUAGCCUUUGAUCGGAUGCAUGGAGAGGGACUGAGGUACUCGGCACGACCUUCAGGUUUGUGUCUAGGUUGCUGGCAUAAUGACAUUAAGCGACCCGUCUUGAAACACGGACCAAGGAGUCUAACAUGCCUGCGAGUGUUUGGGUGGAAAACUCGAGUGCGUAAUGAAAGUGAAAGUCGAGAGCUUCGUCGUUGGAGUGCACCGACGCCCGGACUCAUCGUCUUUGACGAUGAAUCUGCGGUAGAGCAUGUAUGUUAGGACCCGAAAGAUGGUGAACUAUGCCUGAAUAGGGUGAAGCCAGAGGAAACUCUGGUGGAGGCUCGUAGCGAUUCUGACGUGCAAAUCGAUCGUCGAAUUUGGGUAUAGGGGGCGAAAGACU
rnacentral:rRNA from 1 species